rnacentral:rRNA from 1 species
GUCCACGCCCUAAACGAUGUCUACUAGUUGUCGGGUUUUAAUUAACUUGGUAACGCAGCUAACGCGUGAAGUAGACCGCCUGGGGAGUACGGUCGCAAGAUUAAAACUCAAAGGAAUUGACGGGGACCCGCACAAGCGGUGGAUGAUGUGGAUUAAUUCGAUGCAACGCGAAAAACCUUACCUACCCUUGACAUGUACGGAAGACCGAAGAGAUUUGGUUGUGCUCGAAAGAGAACCGUAACACAGGUGCUGCAUGGCUGUCGU